rnacentral:lncRNA from 1 species
GUUGGAUGUUAGAGUUUUGGUUGAUAGCCACUAAAGCUUUUCGAACAGGGAGUAUCACAGCCAGAAUGUGGGUAAGCAUCUACUUAGCUGAGUAGUUAGGAUGAACUGAGUUGGGAAGAGUUAGAAACCAGAUUUAUUUGUGGUUUCUAGCAAUAGUAGUAACCCAAAUUUGUCUAAUAGUGAAAAAUGAAUUAAAAUUUUUGGCUUUCUAAGACAAUGCAGAAAUUGAAAUGGCACAAAUAUGGGAGAGGGACCAACAAAGAAGAGAAGAUGAUUUGUAGGAUGCUGUGGUUUGAAUGUUUGUUCCCUCAAAAACUCAUGUUGAAAUUUAAUCAUCAUUGUAGCAAUAUUAAGAGGUGUGACAUUUAACGGGUAAUUAGGCCAUGAGGACUCCAGCCUCAUGGGUGCAUUCAAUGCCUUAAUAAGAGAGUUUUUAGUCAUGGGCUCUCUUUCUUUUUUCCCUCUUUUCUUCUGUCAUGUUACGACAUAACAAGAAGGCCCUUGCAAGACACCAGUACCUUGAUAUUUGACUUCCAGUCUCCAGAACUUGGAACCUGAACAGUCUGCUGAAGCACCUGAUGUUUGGCCUUCCUGAAUGUCAUGUAAUACGUAUUCAUUUUUUCCAGCUGAAAAUAAAUAGAAUUGGAAAAAAAAGAAAUUAUGUAACGUGAGAGGAAAAAGCCUUUGAAGUGAACUCUUCUGGAAGUUUUAUGUUCAUUGCUAUCCUUUAGCUUUCCCAAAAUGCCCAUAAGCCAAAGAUUUCAUGUGUUAUUUCUGUAAUUUGGUAGUUUUCAUUUAAAUUAUGCAUUAAAAAUGAAUAUUCAUCCUAAAACAAUUGGAAUGAUUAAUUAUCUAAUGAAUUUUUCAUCUCACAGAAGGCAGUGUUUUAUGCCAACACUUACAUGGUUAAGAGGCUUUUAAGUUUCUUAGUUUUUAAAGUUCCUUACUUUUAAGUCAGAAAGACACAUUUAUGUUGUCAGGAAUCAAGCUAAAUUCCUUUAGUCCACAUUUCUAGUUUAGAUUUUCUACUUCUUUCUAGAUUUUAUUUUAAAACCUGCAUUUCAUUCACACCUAUAUUUUCAAGAAAUUAAUUAUAGAAAACUAAUACUAUUUACAAUGAGAAAUGUAUGUGGAAAAAUUAAUGGCAUAAAAAAUCAAGACUUGCUUUGGUUAACAGGUACAAAA